rnacentral:rRNA from 1 species
AUUGAACGCUGGCGGAAUGCUUUACACAUGCAAGUCGAACGGCAGCACGGACUUCGGUCUGGUGGCGAGUGGCGAACGGGUGAGUAAUACAUCGGAACGUGCCCAGUCGUGGGGGAUAACGUAGCGAAAGCUACGCUAAUACCGCAUACGAUCUAAGGAUGAAAGCGGGGGAUCGCAAGACCUCGCGCGAUUGGAGCGGCCGAUGGCAGAUCAGGUAGUUGGUGGGGUAAAGGCUCACCAAGCCGACGAUCUGUAGCUGGUCUGAGAGGACGACCAGCCACACUGGGACUGAGACACGGCCCAGACUCCUACGGGAGGCAGCAGUGGGGAAUUUUGGACAAUGGGCGCAAGCCUGAUCCAGCCAUUCCGCGUGCAGGAUGAAGGCCCUCGGGUUGUAAACUGCUUUUGUACGGAACGAAAAGGCUCUGGUUAAUACCUGGGGCUCAUGACGGUACCGUAAGAAUAAGCACCGGCUAACUACGUGCCAGCCGCCGCAGUAACAC